rnacentral:rRNA from 1 species
UGGGGAAUAUUGCACAAUGGGCGCAAGCCUGAUGCAGCGACGCCGCGUGAGGGAUGACGGCCUUCGGGUUGUAAACCUCUUUCAGCAGGGACGAAGCGCGAGUGACGGUACCUGCAGAAGAAGCACCAGCCAACUACGUGCCAGCAGCCGCGGUAAUACGUAGGGUGCGAGCGUUGUCCGGAAUUACUGGGCGUAAAGAGCUCGUAGGCGGUUUGUCGCGUCGUCUGUGAAAUUCUGCAGCUUAACUGCAGGCGUGCAGGCGAUACGGGCAGACUUGAGUACUACAGGGGAGACUGGAAUUCCUGGUGUAGCGGUGAAAUGCGCAGAUAUCAGGAGGAACACCGGUGGCGAAGGCGGGUCUCUGGGUAGUAACUGACGCUGAGGAGCGAAAGCGUGGGUAGCGAACAGGAUUAGAUACCCUGGUAGUCCACGCCGUAAACGGUGGGUACUAGGUGUGGGUUCCAUUUCACGGGAUCCGUGCCGUAGCUAACGCAUUAAGUACCCGCCUGGGGAGUACGGCCGCAAGGCUAAAACUCAAAUGAAUUGACGGGGUCAUGCUG